rnacentral:rRNA from 1 species
GAUGAACGCUGGCGGCGUGCCUAAUACAUGCAAGUCGAGCGAACGGACGAGAAGCUUGCUUCUCUGAUGUUAGCGGCGGACGGGUGAGUAACACGUGGAUAACCUACCUAUAAGACUGGGAUAACUUCGGGAAACCGUAGCUAAUACCGGAUAAUAUUUUGAACCGCAUGGUUCAAAAGUGAAAGACGGUCUUGCUGUCACUUAUAGAUGGAUCCGCGCUGCAUUAGCUAGUUGGUAAGGUAACGGCUUACCAAGGCAACGAUGCAUAGCCGACCUGAGAGGGUGAUCGGCCACACUGGAACUGUGACACGGUCCAGACUCCUACGGGAGGCAGCAGUAGGGAAUCUUCCGCAAUGGGCGAAAGCCUGACGGAGCAACGCCGCGUGAGUGAUGAAGGUCUUCGGAUCGUAAAACUCUGUUAUUAGGGAAGAACAUAUGUGUAAGUAACUGUGCACAUCUUGACGGUACCUAAUCAGAAAGCCACGGCUAACUACGUG